rnacentral:rRNA from 1 species
CAGUAGCCACGGGAAUACGAAGGGUGCAAGCGUUAAUCGGAAUUACUGGGCGUAAAGCGUGCGUAGGCGGUGAGUUAAGUCUGCUGUGAAAUCCCCGGGCUCAACCUGGGAAUGGCAGUGGAUACUGGCUCGCUAGAGUGUGUCAGAGGAUGGUGGAAUUCCCGGUGUAGCGGUGAAAUGCGUAGAGAUCGGGAGGAACAUCAGUGGCGAAGGCGGCCAUCUGGGACAACACUGACACUGAGGCACGGAAGCGUGGGGAGCAAACAGGAUUAGAUACCCGAGUAGUCCCUGUCUCUUAUAC